rnacentral:rRNA from 1 species
CCUACGGGAGGCAGCAGUGAGGAAUAUUGGUCAAUGGGCGCGAGCCUGAACCAGCCAAGUAGCGUGAAGGAUGACUGCCCUACGGGUUGUAAACUUCUUUUAUAAAGGAAUAAAGUGAGGCACGUGUGCCUUUUUGUCUGUACUUUAUGAAUAAGGAUCGGCUAACUCCGUGCCAGCCGCCGCGGUAAUACGGAAGAUCCGAGCGUUAUCCGGAUUUAUUGGGUUUAAAGGGUGCGUAGGUGGGUUUUUAAGUCAGUUGUGAAAGUUUGGGGCUCAACCGUAAAAGUGCAGUUGAAACUGGCAGUCUUGAGUACAGGAGAGGUGGGCGGAAUACGUGGUGUAGCGGUGAAAUGCUUAGAUAUCACGAAGAACUCCGAUUGCGAAGGCAGCUCACUGGACUGCAACUGACGCUGAGGCUCGAAAGUGUGGGUAUCAAACAGGAUUAGAUACCCCAGUAGUC